CCCAGUGCUCUGAAUGUCAAAG
rnacentral:ncRNA from 2 species